GAUGAACGCUGGCGGCGUGCCUAACACAUGCAAGUCGAACGGAGUCCAGCCUUUAAGACCUUCGGGUCAAAGAGGGGAAGACUGAGUGGCGGACGGGUGAGUAACACGUGGGCAACCUGGCUCAUAGAGGGGGAUAACAGAGAGAAAUUUCUGCUAAUACCGCAUAAGCACACACUGCCGCAUGGCAGAGGGUGAAAAGAGAAUCGCUAUGAGAUGGACCCGCGUCUGAUUAGCCAGUUGGCAGGGUAAGAGCCUACCAAAGCGACGAUCAGUAGCCGAUCUGAGAGGAUGAACGGCCACAUUGGGACUGAGACACGGCCCAAACUCCUACGGGAGGCAGCAGUGGGGGAUAUUGCACAAUGGGGGGAACCCUGAUGCAGCGACGCCGCGUGAGUGAAGAAGUAUUUCGGUGUGUAAAGCUCUAUCAGCAGGGAAGAUAAUGACAGUACCUGAAUAAGAAGCCCCGGCUAACUACGUG
rnacentral:rRNA from 1 species